UACGUAGGGUGCAAGCGUUAAUCGGAAUUACUGGGCGUAAAGCGUGCGCAGGCGGUUUUGUAAGUCUGUUGUGAAAUCCCCGGGCUCAACCUGGGAAUGGCGAUGGAGACUGCAAGGCUAGAGUUUGGCAGAGGGGGGUAGAAUUCCACGUGUAGCAGUGAAAUGCGUAGAUAUGUGGAGGAACACCGAUGGCGAAGGCAGCCCCCUGGGUCAAAACUGACGCUCAUGCACGAAAGCGUGGGGAGCAAACAGG
rnacentral:rRNA from 1 species